CAGAGAAUUGUGGGCCUUUGGAGAUGUUGAUUAUUAAAUAUCAAACACAUGCAAAUGUAAAAGGUAGACAAAAGUGAUUUGGCACAAUAAGACCCCUUUAACUAUCUU